UAUUUUUUCGAGAUAAACUUUGUUUUAUUAAUGUUUUAGACUUGAAACCUCUUUACGGCUAAUGGCGAGGGUGAGUCUGCAUUUUUCAAGAACGAUAUGACGAAGAUGAGGAAUAGCAUGGGCGGCAAUAUAAUUUUCUACAUCCUAUAUCAACAUCCAUUAAAAAUCAUCCUAACUAAACCUAGACGUAUAGAGUAACGCUAAAUGUGUUCUCAGGAACUAUAUAUAGCUAUCGACAUCUUGAUCAAGGCUUUGUAACGAAUGAUAAAGGAGAAUAAUACUUUUACAUAACGGGAUCUCUUCGUUUUUCUGGGAGACUGGCCAUCAUUGAUUUAUCUCUUUAUUGAAAUCGGCCAAUCAAUCGGCCUGACCGCAAUACUAUCCAUUUGCUUCGAAUGGAUACAAAUUCGAUAUUGCGAGUUCGCGACUCUCGCAUCGCUGCUGCUUCUCCAAAUAAGUACGAUACACCAGCUUCGUGAAAGAAAUAUCGAUUCUAACGUGCGACGGACAUUAUCACGUUUCCCAAGAGUCACCCAAUGUAGAGACAGCGGGUAAUAAAGGAAGACACGCCACAGAAAGAUAGACAUGGCGUCGGCAUCAUUCUACAAUGGGUUGAUCGUAACUGCACGGCCAGUGGAGAAAUGGCGGAAUAAUGGUUUUGGUGAUAUGUCUAAUAAGGAAUUGUUUUCUGCAAACUGAGAAAAAAAAGAACACAUAUGUAUAUAUACAUAUAUUUUCUCUCUUGAAAGGCCUCUCUAUGAGAGGCUUAUGGUCUUUAUCUCCAAGAUAUAUAUUAAAGUACAUAGUAGGUAUAUGUAUGUGACGACCACCCAGAUGUAUGUAUAUACCUCAUUGUGCGCUCCAGGAAAAAUGCAGGGACAUAGAGACGUAUACGGUGUCGUCGUGGGAUCUGCGAGAUGGGUCCUGAGACAGAGGAUUGCAGAGUUAAUGGAUAUACACAUAUGCAUCUCAUCGUCAAUGAGGAUCCGAAAAAGAUUAACGAGCUGCAUAUUCAUGUUAAACAUAUUGAUUAGAACCGCAGUAAUCAAGUUUCAUCGGGGAUUCCACUUAGGAACGUAGCAGAACUUGCCAGACAACCGCAACAACGUGAAACAUAAUACAAGUUGCACCAGCCAGUCCUAAGCUCAGCCAUGCGAAGCGGGCAGCCAACGGCGAAGGAACGCGACUUACGAAUCAGAUUACAUCUUGCGUUGGCUUAUCUUUAUUCUUCACCUUACAUCGCCACGAUUCACCUCAUUUCGCUCGAGUGACCAACCCUUCGAUCAGCAUCUUAUAACAGAGGACGUCCAGACGCACUAUCAGCGCUAGAAGUUUGUAAGAAAACUGGAGCUUGGGCGCCUUGCGCAACUUGUAUCAAUUGUGGUUGAGUCUGAAUGGGAGCUGUCUGAAUGAUAAUUGGUUGAUUGCUUCCACCUUGUACUUGCAUACGAAUCAUCUGCAGUUGCUGGGGAGUCAACUGAAUCUAAAAAAAAAGUAUCUGUUGAAUUUCGCCGCUAGGAGUAACAAUUUGUUGUACAAUUUGUAUCCCACCAGUUUGAGUGGGGGGUGUUUGUUGGGUUUGCUGCAAUUGUAUAAUUUGUUGACCAGAUGACUGCUGCGGAUUUUGAACUGUAACUGUUUGUGCUGUAUUUGUGUUAGAGGUCUCCUAAAAUUAAUAAAAUUAUAAAUAUAUGUCAA